AUUGAACGCUGGCGGCAUGCCUUACACAUGCAAGUCGAACGGUAACAGGUCUUCGGAUGCUGACGAGUGGCGAACGGGUGAGUAAUACAUCGGAACGUGCCCGAUCGUGGGGGAUAACGCAGCGAAAGCUGUGCUAAUACCGCAUACGAUCUACGGAUGAAAGCGGGGGAUCGCAAGACCUCGCGCGGACGGAGCGGCCGAUGGCAGAUUAGGUAGUUGGUGGGAUAAAAGCUUACCAAGCCGACGAUCUGUAGCUGGUCUGAGAGGACGACCAGCCACACUGGGACUGAGACACGGCCCAGACUCCUACGGGAGGCAGCAGUGGGGAAUUUUGGACAAUGGGCGCAAGCCUGAUCCAGCCAUGCCGCGUGCAGGAUGAAGGCCUUCGGGUUGUAAACUGCUUUUGUACGGAACGAAAAGCUCUCUCUAAUACAGGGGUGAAUGACGGUACCGUAAGAAUAAGCACCGGCUAACUACGUGCCAGCAGCCG
rnacentral:rRNA from 1 species